UUCCAAAAGUUUUCCCCAGAGAAAAAGUUCCAUUAACUUUCGAUCCAUCUUUUUUCGACGGAGGAGCCAUCCGACUUAGUAGUGCGGCGAAAUUCCAAAGUUCAGGAAACGGGGAACGAUUUGAGAACCGUCGCUUUAAAGCCCCACUUAUCGAGCGCCUAGUUGGUAUGAUAAUGUAAUAAAAUAAAUGGAGGUUGCUGUUUCCGAGCGAUAUGGACUCUCGCUCUAUCCCGUUUCCGCCGCAAAUCUCCUUCCUCUAUACUCCUCCACGCCACCCUCCUCCUUCGCUUUCCUCGUCGCACACCGCCACUUUCGACUCCUCCAUCUCGUUCCCGUCGACUCGAGUCACUCACUCUCUCCGCCUCACUUCGGCUCGCUCAGUUUCAUUUCCUCCCUCCUCCUCCUCUGGACCCUGGAGGGGUUGGCACGGGGGAUCGAGAAGGUAGAAGGGAAUGGAGCUCACCUCGAAAGCGAAAUACAACAAGUCCCGCCGCCAUUGCUGGGUCACCCUUCAACGGGAGUUUUGUCGUUGCGUGGGAGGGGGUUUGACAGCCCUGUGCGACGAGUCAUCCCCUUUCGACCCCGACGUUCCGCUCGGUGGGGAUGAGAGAGAGAGACGGAGAAGGAGCCUCUGUUUCAUACACUAGAACAGAGAAAUUGAGAAUGAGACGGAUAUAUUAUACGUAGAUAAAGAAGAAGGGGGAUAAAAACAGGUGAGGGGGGAGGUAUAGCUUGGGAAUAGAUGGAGAAGGGAGAGAGGGAGAAAGAGGAAGGUUGGUUCGUCGAACAGAGGAUAUCGUGGAGGAAAGGAGAAAAGAGAUCGAGGGUAUGAGGCGGAGAGUAUAUUUAUAGGGAGGGAAGCGAGUCGAAGAAGGAAAAAGAAAGCGGGAUGAAGAGUGAUACACGUAUAUAUAUAUAGAGAGAGGGUGAAGGUGGAAAGAGGAAGGGAGAGAGGUCGAAAACUCCGCCCCUGCAUCCGCAAAAGCGAGUCAAUACCAUGACCAGCCAUCCUUUCUCCUCCGAAUGCUCUCACAGGCAUAACCCUGCCGGUUUUUCAACCCCUUUCUCUCUUUGCGCUCUCGAACCGAGAUAUCGAAAUUCGUUACGUGCCGUAGCGUGAGGACGCUCGACUUGAAAGUUGGCGGCGUCACGAAGCAAACGCGUGUUUUAGGAAUCGAUCCCCGGAUAUGGACCGGACGAAAUUGAAUUCUGAAACAAUUUCAGAGUAUCUGCGAAUUCAGCAGGAUCAACCAUGACAGCCUUAUAUCUCUGCAAGGUAUCGUGCAAAUGCCUCACAUCCGCUGCCACCUGACUCGGUUUACUCGUCGUGGUUUGCAUAUGGAUUCCGGAAUGGGGAUGAGGAUGCGGCGACAAUGUCAAGGCAGUCAAUUCCGCGGAGUUGAAUAGGGGGGAUGAUUCAAGUGGAAGGCACCACUGCACUGCGU